CCUACGGGUGGCAGCAGUGGGGAAUAUUGGACAAUGGGCGAAAGCCUGAUCCAGCCAUGCCGCGUGUGUGAAGAAGGCCUUCGGGUUGUAAAGCACUUUCAGUGGGGAAGAAAGCCUUGGGGCUAAUACCCUCGAGGAAGGACAUCACCCACAGAAGAAGCACCGGCUAACUCCGUGUCAGCAGCCGCGGUAAUACGGAGGGUGCGAGCGUUAAUCGGAAUUACUGGGCGUAAAGCGCGCGUAGGCGGUCUGAUAAGCCGGUUGUGAAAGCCCCGGGCUCAACCUGGGAACGGCAUCCGGAACUGUCAGGCUAGAGUGCAGGAGAGGAAGGUAGAAUUCCCGGUGUAGCGGUGAAAUGCGUAGAGAUCGGGAGGAAUACCAGUGGCGAAGGCGGCCUUCUGGACUGACACUGACGCUGAGGUGCGAAAGCGUGGGUAGCAAACAGGAUUAGAUACCCUAGUAGUC
rnacentral:rRNA from 1 species